UGGGGGAUAUUGCACAAUGGGCGAAAGCCUGAUGCAGCGACGCCGCGUGGGGGAUGAAGGCCUUCGGGUUGUAAACUUCUUUUGCUCUGAACAAGGCAUGCUAAUGGGUGUGUUGAGUGUAGGGGUUGAUUAGCGCCGGCUAACUACGUGCCAGCAGCCGCGGUAAUACGUAGGGCGCGAGCGUUGUCCGGAAUUAUUGGGCGUAAAGGGCUUGGAGGUGGCUGGUUGCGUCUGUCGUGAAAGCUCAUGGCUUAACUGUGGGUUUGCGGUGGGUACGGGCUGGCUUGAGUGCAGUAGGGGAGGCUUGAAUUCCUGGUGUAGCGGUGGAAUGCGCAGAUAUCAGGAGGAAUACCGGUGGCGAAGGCGGGUCUCUGGGCUGUUACUGACACUGAGGAGCGAAAGCAUGGGGAGCGAACAGG
rnacentral:rRNA from 1 species